rnacentral:rRNA from 1 species
CUACGGGACGCUCCAGUAGGGAAUAUUGGACAAUGGGCGAAAGCCUGACCCAGCAACACCGCGUGCACGAUGACGGCCUUCGGGUUGUAAAGUGCUUUUAGAGGAGAUGAGAAAGGACAGUAUCCUCUGAAUAAGCCUCGGCGAACUACGUGCCAGCAGCCGCGGUAAAACGUAGGAGGCAAGCGUUAUCCGGAUUUAUUGGGCGUAAAGCGCGUGCAGGCGGUCUAGCAAGUUGGAUGUGAAAGCUCCCGGCUCAACUGGGAGAGGUCGUUCAAUACUGUUAGACUAGAGAAUAGGAGAGGGAGGUGGAAUUCCGGGUGUAGUGGUGAAAUGCGUAGAUAUCCGGAGGAACACCAGUGGCGAAGGCGGCCUCCUGGACUAUUUCUGACGCUAAGACGCGAAAGCUAGGGUAGCAAACGGGAUUAGAUACCCGAGUAGUC